AGGGGAACCCGGUGAACUGAAACAUCUAAGUAGCCGGAGGAAGAGAAAGAAACAUCGAUUUCCUUAGUAGCGGCGAGCGAAAGGGAAAGAGCCCAAACCGAGGGUCUACGGACGUUCGGGGUUCGGACUUGCAAAAAUCGAAGUACUUAUAGACGAAGAGGUUUGGAACUUCCUACCAAAGAGGGUAACAGUCCCGUAGUCGAAAUGAGUACAAGAGGGCGAGAAUCCAGAGUACCACAGGACACGAGUAAUCCGGUGGGAAGACGGGGGGCCCACCCCCCAAGGCUAAAUACUACUUGGUGACCGAUAGCGUAUAGUACCGUGAGGGAAAGGUGAAAAGAACCCCGGGAGGGGAGUGAAAGAGUACCUGAAACCCUAUGUUUACAAGCAGUGGGAGCGAGAGCGACCAUGUACUUUUUGUAGAACGGGCCGGCGAGUUACUGUGUGCAGCGAGGUUAAGUUGUUAAGCAACGGAGCCGAAGGGAUACCGAGUCUGAAAAGGGCGUAAAGUUGCAUGCAGUACACCCGAAACCGGGUGACCUAUCCAUGGACAGGAUGAAGCGACGGUAAGACGUCGUGGAGGUCCGAACCACACGUACGUGAAAAGUGCGGGGAUGAGCUGUGGAUAGCGGAGAAAUUCCAAUCGAACUCGGAGAUAGCUGGUUCUCCCCGAAAUAGCUUUAGGGCUAGCCUCGAUUUAGAUUACCGGGGGUAGAGCACUGAAUGGGCUAGGGGGCCACAAAGCUUACCGAACCCUAUCAAACUUCGAAUACCGGAUAAUUGAUGAUCGGGAGUCAGACAGUGUGAGAUAAGUUUCAUUGUCGAAAGGGAAACAGCCCAGAUCUACGACUAAGGUCCCAAAGUUCAAGUUAAGUGGAAAAGGAUGUGCAAUUGCGUAGACAACCAGGAUGUUGGCUUAGUAGCAGCCAUUCAUUCAAAGAGUGCGUAAUAGCUCACUGGUCGAGUGAUUGUGCGCCGAAAAUGUAACGGGGCUAAACUUGACACCGAAGUCUAGGCAGAAGGAAACUUCUGGGUAGGGGAGCAACGUGUACGGGCAGAAGCAGAAGCGGAAGCGACUGUGGACUGUACAGGAGAGAGAAUGCCGGCAUGAGUAGCGAGAGCAAAGUGAGAAUCUUUGCCGUCGAAAGCCUAAGGUUUCCUGAGGAAGGCUCGUCCUCUCAGGGUAAGUCGGGACCUAAGCCGAGGACAAUAGUCGUAGGCGAUGGACAAUCGGUUAAUAUUCCGAUACCGCCGAGCAACCGGAUGCAGUGACACAGAAGGAUAGGCAGAGCGUGGCGAUGGUAGACCACGUCCAAGCAGUGAGGCUGUUGUGUAGUGAAGUACGCACAACGGAAGGCUGGGCUGUGAUGGGGAACGAUUACGAUCGGUAAGCUGCUGAAUUCACGCUGGCGAGAAAAGCUGCUACGAAGCGAAGGCGCCCGUACCGCAAACCGACACAGGUAGGCGAGGAGAGAAUCCUAAGACGAGCGGGAGAACCCUUGUUAAGGAACUCGGCAAAAUGACUCCGUAACUUAGGGAGAAGGAGUGCCUAGGAAUGGGCCGCAGAGAAUAGACCCAAGCGACUGUUUACCAAAAACACAGGUCUGUGCGAAGUAGAGAUACGACGUAUACGGGCUGACACCUGCCCAGUGCCGGAAGGUUAAGGGGAAAUGUUAGGGCAACCGAAGCAUGGAACUUAAGCCCCGGUGAACGGCGGCCGUAACUAUAACGGUCCUAAGGUAGCGAAAUUCCUUGUCGGGUAAG
rnacentral:rRNA from 1 species